GACGUAGGGGGCCAGCGUUGUUCGGAAUUACUGGGUGUAAAGGGUUCGUAGGCGGUGCGGCAAGUUGGGAGUGAAAUCUCUGGGCUCAACCCAGAGGCUGCUUCCAAAACUGCUGUGCUCGAGUGUGGGAGAGGCGCGUGGUAAUUGCAGGUGUAGCGGUGAAAUGCGUAGAUAUCUGCAGGAACACCCGUGGCGAAAGCGGCGCGCUGGACCACUACUGACGCUGAAGAACGAAAGCUAGGGGAGCAAACAGG
rnacentral:rRNA from 1 species